rnacentral:rRNA from 1 species
CUACGUAGGGGGCGAGCGUUGUCCGGAAUGAUUGGGCGCAAAGGGCGCGUAGGCGGCCCGGUAAGUCUGGAGUGAAAGUCCUGUUUUUAAGAUGGGAAUUGCUUUGGAUACUGUCGGGCUUGAGUGCAGGAGAGGUAAGUGGAAUUCCCAGUGUAGCGGUGAAAUGCGUAGAGAUUGGGAGGAACACCAGUGGCGAAGGCGACUUACUGGACUGUAACUGACGCUGAGGCGCGAAAGUGUGGGGAGCAAACAGGAUUAGAUACCCUGGUAGUCCACACUGUAAACGAUGAAUGCUAGGUGUAGGGGGUAUCGACCCCUUCUGUGCCGCAGUCAACACAAUAAGCAUUCCGCCUGGGGAGUACGGCCGCAAGGUUGAAACUCAAAUGAAUUGACGGGG